rnacentral:rRNA from 1 species
AUUGAACGCUGGCGGAAUGCUUUACACAUGCAAGUCGAACGGCAGCACGGACUUCGGUCUGGUGGCGAGUGGCGAACGGGUGAGUAAUGUAUCGGAACGUGCCCAGUCGUGGGGGAUAACGUAGUGAAAAUUACGCUAAUACCGCAUACGAUCUAUGGAUGAAAGCGGGGGAUCGCAAGACCUCGCGCGAUUGGAGCGGCCGAUAUCAGAUUAGGUAGUUGGUGUAGUAAAGGCCCACCAAGCCAACGAUCUGUAGCUGGUCUGAGAGGACGACCAGCCACACUGGAACUGAGACACGGUCCAGACUCCUACGGGAGGCAGCAGUGGGGAAUUUUGGACAAUGGGCGAAAGCCUGAUCCAGCCAUUCCGCGUGCAGGAUGAAGGCCCUCGGGUUGUAAACUGCUUUUGUACAGAACGAAAAGGUUUCUACUAAUACUAGGAGCUCAUGACGGUACUGUAAGAAUAAGCACCGGCUAACUACGUGCCAGCAGCCGCCGUAA